GGGGAAUCUUGCGCAAUGGGCGAAAGCCUGACGCAGCAACGCCGCGUGAGCGAAGAAGGCCUUCGGGUUGUAAAGCUCUGUCAGGAGGGACGAAGCCACUCGGGUUAAUAGCCCAGAGGGUGACGGUACCUCCAGAGGAAGCCCCGGCUAACUACGUGCCAGCAGCCGCGGUAAUACGUAGGGGGCAAGCGUUGUCCGGAAUCAUUGGGCGUAAAGCGCGUGUAGGCGGCCGGCCAAGUCCGAUGUGAAAGCUCGGGGCUCAACCCCGAGUCUGCAUUGGAAACUGGUCGGCUUGAGUCCGGAAGAGGAGACUGGAAUUCCCGGUGUAGCGGUGAAAUGCGCAGAUAUCAGGAAGAACACCGGUGGCGAAGGCGGGUCUCUGGGACGGUACUGACGCUGAGACGCGAAAGCGUGGGGAGCAAAC
rnacentral:rRNA from 1 species